rnacentral:rRNA from 1 species
AGAGUUUGAUCCUGGCUCAGGAUGAACGCUGGCGGCGUGCCUAAUACAUGCAAGUCGAGCGAACGGACGAGAAGCUUGCUUCUCUGAUGUUAGCGGCGGACGGGUGAGUAACACGUGGAUAACCUACCUAUAAGACUGGGAUAACUUCGGGAAACCGGAGCUAAUACCGGAUAAUAUUUUGAACCGCAUGGUUCAAAAGUGAAAGACGGUCUUGCUGUCACUUAUAGAUGGAUCCGCGCUGCAUUAGCUAGUUGGUAAGGUAACGGCUUACCAAGGCAACGAUGCAUAGCCGACCUGAGAGGGUGAUCGGCCACACUGGAACUGAGACACGGUCCAGACUCCUACGGGAGGCAGCAGUAGGGAAUCUUCCGCAAUGGGCGAAAGCCUGACGGAGCAACGCCGCGUGAGUGAUGAAGGUCUUCGGAUCGUAAAACUCUGUUAUUAGGGAAGAACAUAUGUGUAAGUAACUGUGCACAUCUUGACGGUACCUAAUCAGAAAGCCACGGCUAACUACGUGCCAGCAGCCGCGGUAAUACGUAGGUGGCAAGCGUUAUCCGGAAUUAUUGGGCGUAAAGCGCGCGUAGGCGGUUUUUUAAGUCUGAUGUGAAAGCCCACGGCUCAACCGUGGAGGGUCAUUGGAAACUGGAAAACUUGAGUGCAGAAGAGGAAAGUGGAAUUCCAUGUGUAGCGGUGAAAUGCGCAGAGAUAUGGAGGAACACCAGUGGCGAAGGCGACUUUCUGGUCUGUAACUGACGCUGAUGUGCGAAAGCGUGGGGAUCAAACAGGAUUAGAUACCCUGGUAGUCCACGCCGUAAACGAUGAGU